rnacentral:rRNA from 1 species
UAGGGAAUCUUCGGCAAUGGGGGGAACCCUGACCGAGCAACGCCGCGUGAGUGAAGAAGGUUUUCGGAUCGUAAAGCUCUGUUGUUAAGGAAGAACGAGUGUGAGAAUGGAAAGUUCAUGCUGUGACGGUACUUAACCAGAAAGGGACGGCUAACUACGUGCCAGCAGCCGCGGUAAUACGUAGGUCCCGAGCGUUGUCCGGAUUUAUUGGGCGUAAAGCGAGCGCAGGCGGUUAGAAAAGUCUGAAGUGAAAGGCAGUGGCUCAACCAUUGUAGGCUUUGGAAACUGUUUAACUUGAGUGCAGAAGGGGAGAGUGGAAUUCCAUGUGUAGCGGUGAAAUGCGUAGAUAUAUGGAGGAACACCGGUGGCGAAAGCGGCUCUCUGGUCUGUAACUGACGCUGAGGUUCGAAAGCGUGGGGAGCGAACAGG